UAAUACAUGCAAGUCGAGCGAUCGACGGGAGCUUGCUCCCUGAGAUUAGCGGCGGACGGGUGAGUAACACGUGGGCAACCUGCCUAUAAGACUGGGAUAACUUCGGGAAACCGGAGCUAAUACCGGAUACGUUCUUUUCUCGCAUGAGAGAAGAUGGAAAGACGGUUUACGCUGUCACUUAUAGAUGGGCCCGCGGCGCAUUAGCUAGUUGGUGAGGUAAUGGCUCACCAAGGCGACGAUGCGUAGCCGACCUGAGAGGGUGAUCGGCCACACUGGGACUGAGACACGGCCCAGACUCCUACGGGAGGCAGCAGUAGGGAAUCUUCCGCAAUGGACGAAAGUCUGACGGAGCAACGCCGCGUGAACGAAGAAGGCCUUCGGGUCGUAAAGUUCUGUUGUUAGGGAAGAACAAGUACCAGAGUAACUGCUGGUACCUUGACGGUACCUAACCAGAAAGCCACGGCUAACUACGUGCCAG
rnacentral:rRNA from 2 species